GACAGUCUCCUCUGCUGAAGUCCAGGCUUCAUGGGAGACUGCCAAGGCUGUUUAUGUGGCAGCAGCACCAGCUCCUGUGAUGCAGAGCAUGUGCAACACAGAUGCAGCCUUCGGUGGUGCAGCUGCAAUACCUGCAACCUUAGAUGGAGCAGCUGGUACAGUCGGACCUGCAUCCGCUGAGGCAGCUGCUAAAGAGCCCGCUGAGGUGGAGCCAUAUCAGCUGCUAAACUUCCUAGAAUGUGAAAUGAUGCAUUUCUACGACGGUUGAUGUCAAGGUGACGUGGAAAGCCUGGGGUGACAACAAGUGAACAAGGACAUAAGGUCAAGCGUUGCUGUGAAGAACCUGGCCAUUGCUCUGUGGGGGUCCAGUGUCCUGCAGAGGACUGUGGCCGAAAUGGCGUCGAAUGUCAGUCUUAACAAGGACAGCAGGCUGCCUCUGACACCCAAGAAAGCGGCAUUCCUAAGAG
rnacentral:lncRNA from 1 species